GUACUGGCAUUGUUGGUUUCUCCCUUCUGACGAACCAUGAUGUCAUUUAUUUGGUGUUGUGGGGAAUCAGGACUGUUACUUUGAAAAAAUUAGAGUGUUUAAAGCAGGCCCACGCUUGAAUACAUUAGCAUGGAAUAAUGAAAUAGGACGUUUGAUUCUAUUUUGUUGGUUUCUAGGAUCGACGUAAUGAUUAAUAGGGAUAGUUGGGGGCAUUAGUAUUCAAUUGUCAGAGGUGAAAUUCUUGGAUUUAUUGAAGACUAACUACUGCGAAAGCAUUUGCCAAGGAUGUUUUCAUUAAUCAAGAACGAAAGUUAGGGGAUCGAAGACGAUCAGAUACCGUCGUAGUCUUAACCAUAAACUAUGCCGACUAGGGAUCGGAUGAUGUUAAUUUUUUAAUGACUCAUUCGGCGCCUUACG
rnacentral:rRNA from 1 species